AUUGAACGCUGGCGGCAGGCCUAACACAUGCAAGUCGAACGAGUGGCGGACGGGUGAGUAAUGUCUGGGAAACUGCCUGAUGGAGGGGGAUAACUACUGGAAACGGUGGCUAAUACCGCAUACUAUCGGAUGUGCCCAGAUGGGAUUAGCUAGUAGGUGGGGUAAAGGCUCACCUAGGCGACGAUCCCUAGCUGGUCUGAGAGGAUGAACAGCCACACUGGAACUGAGACACGGGCCAGACUCCUACGGGAGGCAGCAGUGGGGAAUAUGGCACAAUGGGCUCAAGCCUGAUGCAGCCAUGCCGCGUGUAUGAAGAAGGCCUUCGGGUUGUAAAGUACUUUCAGCGGGGAGGCGUUACCCGCAGAAGAAGCACCGGCUAACUCCGUGCCAGCAGCCGCGGUAAUUC
rnacentral:rRNA from 1 species